rnacentral:lncRNA from 1 species
UAAUAUAAUAAUAUAUUUAUAGUAUAAUACAACAAUAAAUAACUAUUUAUUUGUUUAAUAGAUUACCUCUUUAUUUAACUAUUUGCAAUGGCGACAAAUUCACUAUACUUAUCAAUAUCAUAAGGAUCAGAUUCUUUGCCACUCACUCAUUAUUUUUCUUUUUAUUUAUUUAUUUAUACGUUCAUUCGUAUAUAUAUUUUUAUUUAUACAUUUAUUUAUUUAUUA